rnacentral:rRNA from 1 species
UACGUAGGGUGCAAGCGUUAAUCGGAAUUACUGGGCGUAAAGCGCACGUAGGCGGAUUGUUAAGUCGGGGGUGAAAUCCUGGAGCUCAACUCCAGAACUGCCUUUGAUACUGGCGAUCUUGAGUCCGGGAGAGGUGAGUGGAACUCCGAGUGUAGAGGUGAAAUUCGUAGAUAUUCGGAAGAACACCCGUGGCGAAGGCGGCUCUCUGGGACGGUACUGACGCUGAGACGCGAAAGCGUGGGGAGCGAACGAGG